GAUGAACGCUGGCGGCGUGCCUAAUACAUGCAAGUCGAGCGAACAGACGAGGAGCUUGCUUCUCUGACGUUAGCGGCGGACGGGUGAGUAACACGUGGAUAACCUACCUAUAAGACUGGGAUAACUUCGGGAAACCGGAGCUAAUACCGGAUAAUAUAUUGAACCGCAUGGUUCAAUAGUGAAAGACGGUUUUGCUGUCACUUAUAGAUGGAUCCGCGCCGCAUUAGCUAGUUGGUAAGGUAACGGCUUACCAAGGCAACGAUGCGUAGCCGACCUGAGAGGGUGAUCGGCCACACUGGAACUGAGACACGGUCCAGACUCCUACGGGAGGCAGCAGUAGGGAAUCUUCCGCAAUGGGCGAAAGCCUGACGGAGCAACGCCGCGUGAGUGAUGAAGGUCUUCGGAUCGUAAAACUCUGUUAUUAGGGAAGAACAAAUGUGUAAGUAACUAUGCACGUCUUGACGGGACCUAAUCAGAAAGCCACGGCUAACUACGU
rnacentral:rRNA from 1 species